UUUUACUUAUUCUACACUCAGAAUAUACGUUUUUUAAAAGUUCAUUAUGAUAACUUUCCUUUAAAAUCAAAAUUUUCUUUUUUAAGCUUUGCAAUCUCCGCCUUCCUUUUUUAUCUUCUUCAUAAUGUCUUGGCAUAAUAUCUUAACAUUUUUCUAUCUAGUCGGAUCUGGCAUGUUUGAAGAAGAUCCGAUGUUGAUUACACAGCCAUCGUGGCCGGCAGCUUCUCCAAGUCUAGUAACAACAUCGAAGAGCCACCACUGUCGCGUUUUGUCUACCACCACCACUACUGUCGCGUUUUCUCAACCACCGCAACAACUAUCGCGUUUUGUCAACCACUGCAACCUCCGUCACGUUUUGUCAACCACCGCCAUUAUAAUUGUAGCUCCUUCCACCGUUAGGUUUUCAUUUCUUUUUUUUUAACCAUUUUUUAUUUUUUUCGUAAUAAUUGAAUGAUUUAAAAUAUCAUUUUUUAAUUUCCUUAUAAUGGCUACAUAAUAUGGGGUCACACAUAUAAUGAAGGUAAUUUGGGCUUUGGGUAUUA